AUUGAACGCUGGCGGCAGGCUUAACACAUGCAAGUCGAGCGGAGUGAUGGUGCUUGCACUAUCACUUAGCGGCGGACGGGUGAGUAAUGCUUAGGAAUCUGCCAUUUAGUGGGGGACAACAUUCCGAAAGGAAUGCUAAUACCGCAUACGUCCUACGGGAGAAAGCAGGGGAUCUUCGGACCUUGCGCUAAAUGAUGAGCCUAAGUCGGAUUAGCUAGUUGGUGGGGUAAAGGCCUACCAAGGCGACGAUCUGUAGCGGGUCUGAGAGGAUGAUCCGCCACACUUGGACUGGGACACGGCCCAGACUCCUACGGGAGGCAGCAGUGGGGAAUAUUGGACAAUGGGCGGAAGCCUGAUCCAGCCAUGCCGCGUGUGUGAAGAAGGCCUUUUGGUUGUAAAGCACUUUAAGCGAGGAGGAGGCUCUCCUAGUUAAUACCUAGGAUGAGUGGACGUUACUCGCAGAAUAAGCACCGGCUAACUCUGUGCCAGCCGCCGCCGUAAAAC
rnacentral:rRNA from 1 species